rnacentral:rRNA from 1 species
GUGGGGAAUAUUGCGCAAUGGGGGAAACCCUGACGCAGCAACGCCGCGUGAUUGAAGAAGGCCUUCGGGUUGUAAAGAUCUUUAAUUGGGGACGAAUAAAUGACGGUACCCAAAGAAUAAGCUCCGGCUAACUACGUGCCAGCAGCCGCGGUAAUACGUAGGGAGCAAGCGUUAUCCGGAUUUACUGGGUGUAAAGGGCGAGUAGGCGGGCCGACAAGUUAGGAGUGAAAUCCGGGGGCUUAACCCCCGAACUGCUUUCAAAACUGUUGGUCUUGAGUGAUGGAGAGGCAGGCGGAAUUCCCAGUGUAGCGGUGAAAUGCGUAGAUAUUGGGAGGAACACCAGUGGCGAAGGCGGCCUGCUGGACAUUAACUGACGCUGAGGCGCGAAAGCGUGGGGAGCAAACAGGAUUAGAAACCCUGGUAGUCC